GGGCUACCCAAAGCCCGAGGCAACACAGGCUGGCCUUGCUCUCACACAGGAACCCUGCAAAGGCCACCAAACCUCGCCAAGGCACAAGGCCCCACCCAGGGCCAGGAUGCUGGAGAGGAAGGGCACAGACUCUGAUGAAUGGGACUCGGGACUCGGAGACCCCGUUUCUUUCUCUGCCUAAACAAGGGAGGCCCCAAGUUUACACUGUAGCCCGGCGGACCUGCUGACAGACACCAGCUCAGGAGACACAGAAUGGCUCCCUGUCCCUUGCGCAGAGCCCUCCCGGGAACGCCAAAAGGAAGCAGGGCACGCCUGCAGGAAGCUCCUACUGGCUCAAGUCUGGACUUUAAGUGCUUCCAUAAGGAUAACAACUGCCAGGAAUGGAACUUCAAGAGAUUAUUUUGGCAAGUCUUGAGUUCCCGAUGCUCUUUCAUUGCAAAGUAACUCCUGGAUCACGGCUGGUUUUGUUUGUGGUCGGUUUCCUGGUGGUUUUGGAGGCUGAGGAUGAUCUCCACCCCUGGGGAAUUCAGGGGAAGCGUGGACCCUGAACCUCGUACUCUGUCCUGCUACCUUGGACGUGCCCUUCACCAAAGGGCAGCCAUGGCACGAGGACCCUUAGGACACCAGGGACACAGCUAAGAACUGGAAGCGAAAGGAAACGAGGGAAGCAGUAUGUCCUCACCUCCACCACCACUGCCAAGGCACUGCCAAAGCUGUCCUGGACCUAGGGCACGGAGGGGUGCUUCGCUGGGACUUGGCGGCCUUCCAGGACUGACCAGGAGACACAAGGUGCCUAGAGACCAGGGACACA
rnacentral:lncRNA from 1 species